UGGGGAAUUUUGGACAAUGGGCGAAAGCCUGAUCCAGCAAUGCCGCGUGUGUGAAGAAGGCCUUCGGGUUGUAAAGCACUUUUGUCCGGAAAGAAAUCCUUGGCUCUAAUACAGUCGGGGGAUGACGGUACCGGAAGAAUAAGCACCGGCUAACUACGUGCCAGCAGCCGCGGUAAUACGUAGGGUGCAAGCGUUAAUCGGAAUUACUGGGCGUAAAGCGCGCGCAGGCGGUUUGCUAAGACCGAUGUGAAAUCCCGGGCUCAACCUGGGAACUGCAUUGGUGACUGGCAGGCUAGAGUAUGGCAGAGGGGGGUAGAAUUCCACGUGUAGCAGUGAAAUGCGUAGAGAUGUGGAGGAAUACCGAUGGCGAAGGCAGCCCCCUGGGCCAAUACUGACGCUCAUGCACGAAAGCGUGGGGAGCAAACAGGAUUAGAUACCCUGGUAGUCCACGCCCUAAACGAUGUCAACUAGUUGUUGGGGAUUCAUUUCCUUAGUAACGUAGCUAACGCGUGAAGUUGACCGCCUGGGGAGUACGGUCGCAAGAUUAAAACUCAAAUGAAUUGACGGGGUCAUA
rnacentral:rRNA from 1 species